CGGUGUUUAACUGGCGUGAUGUGGGACGUCCUACCGGUGGGCUUAGCCUCGCGAGGGGCGGCCCAACUAAUAUCCCGUCGCGGUGCUCUUUACUGAGUGUCGAGUCGGGCCGGUACGUUUACUUUGAACAAAUUAGAGUGCUUAAAGCAGGCUAUCCUCGCCUGAAUACUGCGUGCAUGGAAUAAUGGAAUAGGACCUCGGUUCUAUUUUGUUGGUUUUCGGAACCCCGAGGUAAUGAUUAAUAGGGACAGAUGGGGGCAUUCGUAUUGCGACGUUAGAGGUGAAAUUCUUGGAUCGUCGCAAGACGGACAGAAGCGAAAGCAUUUGCCAAAAAUGUUUUCAUUAAUCAAGAACGAAAGUUAGAGGUUCGGAGGCGAUCAGAUACCGCCCUAGUUCUAACCAUAAACGAUGCCAGCUAGCGAUCCGCCGAAGUUCCUCCGAUGACUCGGCGGGCAGCUUCCGGGAAACCAAAGCUUUUGGGUUCCGGGGGAAGUAUGGUUGCAAAGCUGAAACUUAAAGGAAUUGACGGAAGGGCACCACCAGGAGUGGAGCCUGCGGCUUAAUUUGACUCAACACGGGAAACCUCACCAGGCCCAGACACCGGAAGGAUUGACAGAUUGAUAGCUCUUUCUUGAUUCGGUGGGUGGUGGUGCAUGGCCGUUCUUAGUUGGUGGAGCGAUUUGUCUGGUUAAUUCCGAUAACGAACGAGACUCUAGCCUGCUAAAUAGGCGUACCUUAUGGUAUCGCGAAGGCCCCCGGCUUCGGCCGGUGGGUUUUUACUACCAACGUACAAACAAAUCUUCUUAGAGGGACAGGCGG
rnacentral:rRNA from 1 species